CGAAAUUCUGGUAAAUUAACGGAACGAACGUUACAAUCCUACCAAAAAUAAAAAAAGAAGCUCCUCCAUGGUGAUAACAGCUUCCCAUCGCCGGUGACUACGGAGAGAGGGAAGCUUCUCCGUUAUUCCUCAAGGUAAAUGGGUAUGGGAAGCUGAAACUAUAACAAGAGUUGCUACAUUUUUGUCAAAAAUAGACGACGCUCUUUUUCAGAGUGAACGGUUGAGUUAACAAAAGAUCAAUAUAUAAAUAACAUGCUAUUUGUCCAAAUAUACAUAACAAUUUUCCACUAAUUUGCACUUGGCAAAAAUGACUAUCAACGAGAAUUCAUGACUAAUCUAAUGGUUUCUAAGAAAAUAAAAACCCAACUUUUGCCUUUCUGGUGACCCUUCUGGGCAGCUUUAUUAGCAUUAUGACUCGCAACAAUAUAGCAUAGAGAUUCAAAAGCAUAAUCCUUUACACUCUUCAGAGUCGUGCAUUGCGGUGCUGCUGCUUCAGCAAUGGGCGAACAUAUUCAUGGUAGCCAUCAGGCACAAUUGAGUCAUUUAGUGGAUCCUUCCAUGCUUCUUCAUAGAGUUUUGGAUACACAUUUCCAUCAUAGCGACCAAGAACUGAGCCAAGGUAGUGAUCAGUGUAGUUAAAUGCAUCAACAAGUGCAAUGGCAUUUGGACGGACCUGGGAAUAUAAAGAUCUGAGCUGAUCAUUUGCAAGUGAAGAUUGCUUGGGUGUGAUGCAUCCGGUGGAUAGAAAAUCACCCAGAUGUUUGUGAAGGAGGUUCAAAGCAUAAAUAUUGCAAAGAUUCUGCAAUUGUUGUUUCACUCCUUUCCCUGGUAUAUCUUGUUGCAAUUUUUCAAUGAACUUGGAAACAACAAUCAACUGGCAAUGAGCAAUUGCUGCCUCAACAAGAUCAGCUGAGAGUUCAGCAAAACCUGAAGCAAGAGAAAUAAUAAGUGGGAGUACAUAAUCUAUAUACACUAUAUUACAGGAACCAUGAAGACCAAAAGAAACCACUCUUGACCUUAUCUGCACAGAAAAACAUAGAGAAGAGGCAGCAAAAAAUGUAAUUUCAUAAUCAAAUCCUUAUCCCCUUUUCAGCUUAUCCAAACAACUAAAAAUUGCUAGCAUAAAAUCAGUAGAAUUAGUUGCCAAUAAAGAAUGAUAAAUCAAAAGGCAGAGAAGGCAUACCCUCUUCAGGAUUUGGAAACUUGCUAAGGCUUUGAGCACGGGCAACACACAUCCUAACAGCCCUGGCCUCAAAUACCUCCAAUAAUACACUAGGCUUUAACCAAUCCUCCGCUGCAACAGAGGAAACAAAUAUUGCUAAGGACACAAAUAUCCACUCCCUAGAAAAGUUAGCUGGGAUGAAGUUACAAUCCAAGCACAAGAGUCUUCAAUCUUUGUAAACCCAUAUUGAUCUUGUACAUUAUGUAUUUAAUCCACUACACUUUCCAUAAAUAAUUAAAUCCACUACACUUUCCAUAAGUAAUUACUUGACAUGGUACAGUAACAGCAAUGAAGCAGCAAAUCUAGAAGGAAAAAUGAUAAAAUGGGUACCCUUUUGAACACUACAAUGACACUGCAAAAGAUCCUCUGCCCGUGCCAUAUAAGCUGUUGUUCCAACAGGCUUCUUUCCAGAACCCAGCUGAGAAACAGUUUUCAUGAGAAACCUAGCAACCUGUAAAAGCAGCACAACAUUGUCUCCUUCAUAUGUACAGGCAGGAACAUAAACAGCAAAUAACUCAGGAAGCCCACUGGAGCUAAGGUAACCAUGUCCACCACAAAGUUUCCUACAUUCUUCAAUGGCAUCAAGUUUUGGAGGUAAACCGGUAAAUAUUAGUGCUAGUGACAUACAGCAGUUGCAGAAGUAGUCAAAGACUUCAAACCAGCAGUACAUGCAUGAGCUUCAGGCAAUGUUGAGAAAUCAUUGGCUUGCAACCUCUGAGUCACAUCCAUAUAAAGCCAUUUCAACCAUUCACCAACAAAUCUGAAAGCAUAUGCAGAAGCCAGCAAAGGGAAAAGUCUAUUUUGCUGAGUUUUGUAAUCGAUCACCUGGGUCUCAACACCACCCUCCUGAGAACCAAAUUGUCUGCGGACGGUACUAUACCUUGUAGCAAUACAAACCGCCCGUGAUAAAGCAGAGGAUGCAUCAGAUACAAUUGUCUGCCGCACAUACACCAUAGUGCCAUAAAUCAAUUGCCGUGGAACAUUAGAUUGCACACAUUUCCCUUCCCUUGUAACCUGCAUUACUCGCAUCAACAUUUGGUUCCUUGGGAUGCGCACAUGAUCAAAUCUUAAAACACCAUUGUCCAUGGUAUUAUAUGCCCCACUACCAAAUUUCAUUCCAAUAUCACCAACUGUUAUGCCUGGAAGAGGCAUGUGAUCAUCCAAACUCCGAAGUUGGACAAUAAAGCCAUGUACUCCAUGUUCUUGACCAUCAGUUAUAAGACGCGCAUAAACAACAGCAUGCGUGGAAACUUUACCCAAUCCACCAGGCCACCACUAUAAAAAGAGGGGAAUUUUCACAUAACAAUGAUUGAAAAUCUUAAUCAAUUUGUUGUUUCAUAUUUCACAUACCGUUUAACUUUCAUUCCCCCGCAUGACAUGGACAUGCAACCACUUAAAAGGAAUAAUAUGAACAUUUAUCCUGUGCGUAAAAUUAAGACUGCUAGCACAAAAUUAAUCUAUCACAAGUAAUUGGAUGAGACUCUCAUCAACCAGUUUACUCACUUUGCUUGAAGUUAGUGUGGGACUAUGAAUGACAAAUUCAUCUGUCUCAGGAUCAAAUGUUGCAGUGGUUUCAAGCCCUUGAACAUUGGAGCCAUGACCAAGUUCAGUUUGUGCAUAGCAGCCAAUUAUUUGAAUCUUAUAUGCCAAAGGUAGCCACUUCUGUUGUUGCUCUUCAGUGCCUUGUCCUUUAAUUGCUGGAACAAACAUUCCCCAAUGAAGAUCUGUAAAAGCGGGUUCAUCCACAAAAAAUCUCAACUUUCUCGCCUCUUCUUCAGAAAGGCGAAGCUCAAUGAUGCGUUUCCAUGCAUGAGCUGCUUUCCUCAGAGUGUUUUUAAACAGUUCCUUCCUGCUUAGCAUAACUCUGUUAUCCUUUCGAAAAGCCUGGAAACAAUAUAUGACGAGGACAGAUUGUGACAAGGACAAGUAUCAAAAGCCAAAAAUAACUAAUGUAGGUUAAAAAUAUGCUGCAAAAUAACAGUCAAAGCUCCAUUACCAUUAUGGUCCCGCUGAAUUGGGCACUGGGAGGGAGAGUUUCAGAGAAAAAUAAAAAUAAAAAAAGUAAAAAAAAAUAAGGACUAGGUUUGCCCGAGAUUUUCUCAAGAAAAAAUUGCAGAAUCUCAAAAUUUGGGAAUCCUCAGCGAGAUAAGCAGCCUCACAACUAAGUAAUCCAAAAAAGAAAUUGAAAAUUUUGAAAAUAAACAGCAAAAGAACAACGAGGCAAGUUUGAGAGCUGGUAAACAGCAAAAGAACUUAUUGCGCGGCUAAAAGAACCUGAUCAAUGAUAUGAAUCAAAGCUCAAUUAAGAAAGAACUUAAAAUCAUACACUUUAAAGUAUAUUAGCUCAAGGAGUUAUACCUAAGUAAAAUUAAAAUGUUUAAGAAUCGAAACAGAAUUGGAUUAAGGACACAAAAAUCAGCAUCAGAUAGGUUGAAAACAAAAUUAUCACUCUCGAGCACCUAAUUUCUGAAAAUAAUAAUAAUAAAAGAGAGGGAUGGAGGUAGGUUACUGGAUCGCUUGCGACGAGACGAGCCAUGCGAUCGGAGACAUCGAAGGCGUGGCGGGAACCAGCCCAGACGAUCUUCAUAUCGUCGACAUCGAAAUUCGCCUUGUUCCUCUCGUAAACCAAGUGAUCGACGCCCUCCAUCGUUGGUGAACGAAAUCCAACAACCUUGUUGCUGCAAUGUUAUCGGACUUGUGAGCAAUGUAAGAAAGGAGAAAAAAGCGUGUGAUGUAACAAACAGAUCUAUCUUUUCACGGAUGAUGAGAGGAUACCGCGCU
rnacentral:misc_RNA from 1 species